rnacentral:rRNA from 1 species
CUCGUAGGCGGUCUGUCACGUCGGGCGUGAAAAUCCAGGGCUUAACCCUGGACCUGCGUUCGAUACGGGCAGACUAGAGUUCGGUAGGGGAGACUGGAAUUCCUGGUGUAGCGGUGAAAUGCGCAGAUAUCAGGAGGAACACCGGUGGCGAAGGCGGGUCUCUGGGCCGAUACUGACGCUGAGGGGCGAAAGCGUGGGGAGCGAACA